rnacentral:lncRNA from 1 species
ACAGAUUAUGCUGAGAAGAGAAGAUGAAGAACGGAAGAAGAAAAAGGAAUGAAGAAUGAAGGAGAAGAAGCCUUACCUGGAUGAAAGAGGAACCGGAAGAGGUCCUUGACCAAACUGAUUUGCAACCCAAAGGGAAGGGGGAAUGGGAGAAGAAGGGUAACCAAACAUCAGAAAAGCUUGAAGAAUGCAUCUGAAGAAUAUAUGGGUAAAAGAGGAAAAGAAAAAGCAAUUGAAGUUGAGAAAUUUUUACUAGAACAAAAGGCUCCAGCCUGAAAUUAGGGCUCCGGUGAGGUGAAAUGCAUUUUCAACGCACAGAAAAAUGCUUUCCAAACAGCCUGGCGUUUGCUAACGUUUCAAUUGUAAUUUUUUUUAGCCUAAAAAAGAAAACGUACUGACAUC